rnacentral:tRNA from 1 species
GGGGUUGUGGCUCAGUGGUAAAGUGCUCACUUGUCAUGUGGGAGGCCCACGGUUCGAUCCUCAACACCA